GUUGUGGAUAAACGGAUGAAGCUUCUAGUUCAGGCAACAUCGCUGAUAGAUGUGCUUCAAGCCUGGAUCCUGUUGGUCCAUAAGAGAGCUGUUCGUCUGAAUGAGAAACCUCACAUCCGGUAUGAUUUGAUGUUGGAUCAAGAGAGGAUAGCGAAUCUAAACUUCAUCUACAACUGCAACGACACAUAGGCUCUAUGGAUGCUUUGAAUCAAAAGAACACCUUUCGCCAGGCCUGUGCAGAUGUUUAGGAGCGGGCUGCUACAAGAUAGCAUUCACAUCACUGUGGAAGAGCAAGUGCCCAUGUUCCUCCAUGUUGUUGGUCAUAACCAGAGGUUCAGGGUUGUACAGAACACCUUCACGAGAUCAAUGGAGACCAUCUCCAGGUACUUCAAGCAAGUGUUGUAUGAUGUUGGGGAGAUCAGGGGAGAGAUGAUCAUGUCACCAACCGGCCAGACUCCUACCUGGAUUCCCACUAGCCCAAGAUGGUAUCCAUACUUCAAGGUGAGCACUUACAGUAUGUAG
rnacentral:rRNA from 1 species